rnacentral:rRNA from 1 species
UACGAAGGGGGCUAGCGUUGUUCGGAAUCACUGGGCGUAAAGGGCGCGUAGGCGGCUUUGUAAGUCGGGGGUGAAAGCCUGUGGCUCAACCACAGAAUUGCCUUCGAUACUGCAUGGCUUGAGACCGGAAGAGGCAAGUGGAACUGCGAGUGUAGAGGUGAAAUUCGUAGAUAUUCGCAAGAACACCAGUGGCGAAGGCGGCUUACUGGUCCGGUUCUGACGCUGAGGCGCGAAAGCGUGGGGAGCAAACAGG